GCCCUGCGCGGCCCCUGCAGGAGCAGCCGAGCAGGCGUGGCCAUCUCCAGCACCCUCCACGCUCCGCUCCCUAGGCCGAAACCCCUACCGCGCCCCCUUCCCCUGGCCGGCAGAACCGCUUGCCGCGCGUGCCGUUCAACAGAGAAGAAGUCAAAAGCGAAACCAUGCGUUGGCCCCACCUGUACGCCACAAUCCCACGUUGUUUGUUUUUCCUUUCUUGCAUGCGUGAGGCCGUGCUUUCUUUCCUGCACCACGGAAAAGGAGAACAGGCCCACAUCCACUCCAUCCGCAUGCACGUCGCAUUCAACCUAAAAGCCAAAUGCGCAUCAGAAAAUGGUCUUCCCCGCAUGCAUGUCCAUGUGCUAAUUUUUCUAUUAGUUAUUAGCUAGGAAGGAUCCUUUAUGAUGACCCUCUUUGUGGUCCUCAUUGUGGCCAUUUUCUAGCCAUAGAAUCGUGCCACAUCGUCGUUAAUCCAAGAUUAAUAAAUAUUUGAUUACUUUUGAGUUAUAAACCUGAUUUUAUAUUCGUAUUAGCGUAGUCUACAUGUUAAUACUAAUGUUUCACCAUUAAGCAUGUUUUAUAUAAUUAAUUAAAUGUUAGCUGAAUUAACGUUGUUAAAUUAGCUCUCUAAUCAAAUCUAACUAGUAACUUUUAACUUGCCCCUUUUAAUAAAUGCCGACAGGGUCAGUACUAAAUUGGACAUUUUUGUUUAAUAAUUGUAUAGUAUAAACACGAUAUCUGAUAGCGAUUCUCGCGUGUUGCUGCGCGCUGAAUCGCGUGCCUUUUGCGCGUCGCGCUAUUUCGCGUGUUGUCGCGCGUGUCGUCGCGCGAGCUAUUCGCAUGCGUUGCCGCGUGCCGUUUUUGCACAUUGUCGCUUGUCGCGUGCUGUCCGCGCGCAAUAUUAAAUCAACGGUUCAGUAAAUACACGUUAACUUUUAUGGUCGUCCGAUUUACUUUAUUCUAAUUGUUUUACCUUCACAAUAAUAUCGUGUACACGUUAAAAAUAUUAUUUUGUCGUACCUCAUGUUUUAGUUAAUUAUAAUUAAUUAAUUGUCGGCCAUGCUUUAGUAUAAACCGAUAAAUGUAGUGAUUCUCGUGUCGUCGCGCUGUCCGUGGGCAUCGUCGCGCGCUAUUCGCGCGUGCUAUUCGCCUGCGUCGUCGUGCGUCAUUCUCGCGGGUCGCGCUUGCUGUUCGCACGUGUCGUUUGCGUGUUGAUCGUGCGUGCUAAGAGUAUCUUCCGCAAAUGAUUUAUAUUAAUUAAAAUCGACCUAGAACAUAGGUUACACGUUUAUUAUGCAAACCUUCCGAAAACCAUACCGUCUCAACCAUAGUUUCGAUUUCAGCGCUUAUUUCCUCGCGUAACCGUUGAAGCGCUCACUAUUUUAUAUUGCUCGUUUUUUUAAUAUUUUAUCUUGUAUGGUGUAAUGUUCUUAUGCAAGUAUAUGUUUGCUUGUGCCUGUUUGUAUUUGUUGCGUGACGCGAAUAGAUUGCAAUCUGUUCCCGAGCUUCGAGGAAUCGACGGUCAAGCGUUGGCGACCGAGUGAUCAAGUUCUUCGAGUUCUACGAGAUUGAAGACCCUGAGCAUCUGUUUGGUGAAG
rnacentral:lncRNA from 1 species